UCUAGAUUAGCUCGGUUGAUAGAGAAUCUGCCUGCAAUGCAGAAGGCCCUGGUUCAGUUCCUGGGUCAGGAA
rnacentral:tRNA from 1 species